rnacentral:rRNA from 1 species
UGGGGAAUAUUGGGCAAUGGGCGCAAGCCUGACCCAGCAACGCCGCGUGAAGGAAGAAGGCUUUCGGGGUUGUAAACUUCUUUUGUCAGGGAAGAGUAGAAGACGGUACCUGACGAAUAAAGCCACGGCUAACUACGUGCCA